rnacentral:rRNA from 1 species
AUUGAACGCUGGCGGCAGGCUUAACACAUGCAAGUCGAGCGAGCGGCGGACGGGUGAGUAAGGUAUGGGAAACUGCAUGAUGGAGGGGGAUAACUACGGUAAACGGUAGCUAAGAUCGCAUACCAUCAGAUGUGCCCCGAUGGGAUUGGCUGGUAGGUGGGGUAACGGCUCACCUAGGAGACGAUCCCUAGCUGGGCUGAGAGGAUGACCAGCCACACUGGAACUGAGACACGGUCCAGACUCCUACGGGGGGCAGCAGUGGGGAAUAUUGCACAAUGGGCGAAAGCCUGAUGCAGCCAUGCCGCGUGUUUGAAGAAGGCCUUCGGGUUGUAAAGCACUUUCAGCGGGGAGGCGUUACCCGCAGAAGAAGCAACGGCUAACUCCGUGCCAGCAGCCGCGGUAAUAC